CCCGGGGCCAGGGGCCACUGAGCUGCCUAAGGAUGACUGAACAGGGUCAGAAACCGAGCAGAUCAGAGUUUCCAUUCCAGCCAGCAGGAAGAUACAACAGGGACUUUGAUUAUGAACAUCAAAUACACAUCAAGCGGGCGCGCAGUGAUCACAGGUGUUUGUUGCUACUGUGGAGAUCGUACUAAGUCGAAUCCGGAUGGAAAUGAGAUUUUCUUCAGAUGCCGGUCUUCAGGCAACCCGAGCUCCAGGCAUUUACCGUCCGGGUAUUUGUGAGUCAUGAGCAUGGACUGAAUGGCCGUCCCUUCUUGCUCGAGAGUUGGGAUCCGAUGUGCGUCCCACCUAAGUCACUUUUUCUCCCUGUAUCUCAAUUUUCCCCUCUGCACAAUGAAGGAGUUGGACCAGACGGCGUUCGUGGUAUCCCGGGGCAGCUAGGUGGUUACCCAUAAUGCAUGCUGAGUCCAUGGAGGUCACUGGCCGGCCCUGGGAGGCCACCAAAGUAUUGUGGUAAAGCCUCUAAUACAAUGGCCCAUCUGUGAAUGGACUAGAAAAGUACCACUUCCGAUGGCCAAGCGUCCAGCCUCAGCGUCCCAAGGCCUCCCGAGCAGCUGCCCGGAGAACGCUAUGUGCGUUAUUCCAAAAGAUUCAUCAAUCAACAAACAUUAACUGAGUACCUACUCUGUGCUAGACAUGGUGCUGAAGAAACAAAGACAUAUGUGAAAGAAGCCCUCGUUACAAAAAGCUUAUUUUCUUUGGGAGAAUGGCAAGACCCCAGGAUAUGACGUGCACCGAUGAUUCAAGUUGCAGUCUAUGUCAACAGAGAGAACUCCGAUACCGGAAGCUCCUCGUGUCAAUAAAAUUGCAGAUACUUCACAUAUUCAUGGUCAGAAAUUUACAUGCAUCCUUAUUAAAUUUCACUGUACUACAUCUGGUCCAUCGUACUCUCCUGUCAAGAUCAUUUUAGAUGUUUGAUGUUAUUUUCAAAAUCCCAAAUUUGAAAAGCAUGUUAGCUCUGCUUUCAGCCAAGUCACUGACAAAAAAAAAAAAAAAAAAAAAAGACAGGAAAGGGGCCCUAGGGCAUUCCAGUAAAUACCUCCCUACAGACUGACAAUGGUAUAUUAAUAACCACUUGUUGGCUUUAAUCAUUCAGUUAUUAAACCAGUAACUAGACAA